rnacentral:misc_RNA from 1 species
AACAAUUUGGCCGUAACAAGCCUUAAACCUUCUCUACGCGUACCUUCACAUUCUCCUUCGGCGGGGUAACGCCCGCCGUCGGAACCUUCAAAACCCUUUUGCAUCUAGUAUCAUACCAGUUCUGAUAAAAACUCAAUUGUUA